UUUAUUGGGCGUAAAGCGAGCGCAGGCGGUUUUUUAAGUCUGAUGUGAAAGCCUUCGGCUUAACCGGAGAAGUGCAUCGGAAACUGGGAGACUUGAGUGCAGAAGAGGACAGUGGAACUCCAUGUGUAGCGGUGGAAUGCGUAGAUAUAUGGAAGAACACCAGUGGCGAAGGCGGCUGUCUAGUCUGUAACUGACGCUGAGGCUCGAAAGCAUGGGUAGCGAACAGGAUUAGAUACCCUGGUAGUCCAUGCCGUAAACGAUGAGUGCUAAGUGUUGGAGGGUUUCCGCCCUUCAGUGCUGCAGCUAACGCAUUAAGCACUCCGCCUGGGGAGUACGACCGCAAGGUUGAAACUCAAAGGAAUUGACGGGGGCCCGCACAAGCGGUGGAGCAUGUGGUUUAAUUCGAAGCUACGCGAAGAACCUUACCAGGUCUUGACAUCUUCUGCCAAUCUUAGAGAUAAGACGUUCCCUUCGGGGACAGAAUGACAGGUGGUGCAUGGUUGUCGUCAGCUCGUGUCGUGAGAUGUUGGGUUAAGUCCCGCAACGAGCGCAACCCUUAUUAUCAGUUGCCAGCAUUCAGUUGGGCACUCUGGUGAGACUGCCGGUGACAAACCGGAGAAGGUGGGGAUGACGUCAAAUCAUCAUGCCCCUUAUGACCUGGGCUACACACGUGCUACAAUGGACGGU
rnacentral:rRNA from 2 species